rnacentral:lncRNA from 1 species
UGGUGGAAUUAUAACACAAGCAGCAGGGGUAGAAGAGUCUAAUGAAAAUACAACUCAACCGGAAAUAAAGAGGGACUCAAGAAACAGAUUAACUAACUCGAGGCUGAAUAACUUUUAUUGGUCUGGGACCUAAUCCAUAUAUUUUUUGUUGGUGAAGGAGAGAGGAGGGAGGAGGGUGUGAAUUUUGUUGGCCUUGCUGCAUCUUUUUGUGUAAAUUCUCUAUUUUGGUUUAUGUGUAUUUUGGUCUGACAUUUUUAAGGGAAUUUAUUUCUAUAAUUCUCUUCCUUCCUUACUAGAAAUCUUAAUAAUACUACGAUUAAUAAUAUUACGAUUCAGAGCAUAUUUCCAUUGUUUAUCUUUUUGUUGAGUGCAGGCAUUUUCUUUUCACUGUUCCAGAAAAUCUGAGUACUGUUAGAUUCGGUACUGUUACACUAUGUGGAUGAGUUGAUUAUAUUAUGUUUAUUUAUUACGUUUGACCUAUAAAAAACAAGCAUUUGAAACCUCUUCUGCGUCUAACAUCACGACUAUGGCCACGACCUCCCUUCCACCAUCGCCAUCCACCUCUCGUGCGUCAGAAUCCUAAGGAUGAAUUUUUCACCACUGCGAACUCCCUCUCUCAUCUCUAUUUCCACGCCAUGAACCAACAAAAACUCCCCUCCUCAAAUACCUUUUGUAUUUUUUCCCUAUUUUUUAUUUAUUUUUUUCAUUCACGAUAUGAACCCUAAUUUUAAUUCAUGUUUCUUGAUAAGGUUUCUAUUAAUGAUUUC